AUUGAACGCUGGCGGCAGGCCUAACACAUGCAAGUCGAGCGGAUGAAGGGAGCUUGCUCCUGUAUUCAGCGGCGGACGGGUGAGUAAUGCCUAGGAAUCUGCCUGGUAGUGGGGGAUAACGUCCGUUCACGGGACCUAAUAUCACAUACGUUCUGAGGGUGAACGUGGGGGUUCUUCGGACCUCACGCUUCUUGCUGUCACUUGGUCGGAUUAGCUAGUUGGUGGGGUAAAGGCCUACCAAGGCGACGAUCCGUAACUGGUCUGAGAGGAUGAUCAGUCACACUGGAACUGAGACACGGUCCAGACUCCUACGGGAGGCAGCAGUGGGGAAUAUUGGACAAUGGGCGAAAGCCUGAUCCAGCCAUGCCGCGUGUGUGAAGAAGGUCUUCGGAUUGUAAAGCACUUUAAGUUGGGAGGAAGGGAAGUAAGUUAAUACCUUGCUGUUUUGACGGUACCAAAAGAAUAAGCACCGGCUAACUUCGUG
rnacentral:rRNA from 1 species